rnacentral:lncRNA from 1 species
AUGAACGUAUUAAAAGGAUUUCUGGAUUUGGUAAAAUAAAAGGUUUUCUACCCCUCGUGGUAGCUUCUAUAAAAGAUAAAAGUUUUCGCGUACGAAACAGUUUUCAAAAGAUUUUUCGUGGACUUCUGUUUAAACAUCGAAUGUAAAACUACGGUGUGAAUGGUGAAUGUAUGAAUGUAUAGCUAUCUGUAUAUUCAUUUGAUUGUGGUUGUAUACUGUCUGUACUUUUGUACUUGUGUGACGCCGUGCAAGUACAGGGGAGACUCUGUCCGUGUGAACAGUGGAUUCCUGUAUUUGUGGCGGAUCUGGCAUACUCU